AUCUUUGAUAGAUUGUGCCUUUUAAUAGUUCAUGAUAUCCUUGUUCUCAGAAACUAAGCAGGGUCAGGCUUGGUUAGUACUUGGAUGGAAGACCACCUAGGAACACCAGGUGCUGUAGGUG
ensembl:rRNA 5S_rRNA 5S ribosomal RNA